AUACAGAGGGUGCGAGCGUUAAUCGGAAUUACUGGGCGUAAAGGGUGCGUAGGCGGCUUGAUAAGUCGGAUGUGAAAGCCCCGGGCUUAACCUGGGAAUUGCAUUCGAUACUGUCAGGCUAGAGUAUGUCAGAGGUUGGCGGAACUCCUAGUGUAGCGGUGAAAUGCGUAGAUAUCAGGAGGAACACCAGUGGCGAAGGCGGCUAACUGGGGCAAUACUGACGCUGAGGCACGAAAGCGUGGGGAGCAAACAGGAUUAGAAACCCUAGUAGUCC
rnacentral:rRNA from 1 species